rnacentral:rRNA from 1 species
UGGGGAAUAUUGCACAAUGGAGGAAACUCUGAUGCAGCGACGCCGCGUGAGUGAAGAAGUAUUUCGGUAUGUAAAGCUCUAUCAGCAGGGAAGAAAAUGACGGUACCUGACUAAGAAGCACCGGCUAAAUACGUGCCAG